CUUUUGAUGUAUCACUAGACCUUGUGAGCACACAGUUUAAAAAUCUUGGGAUUUCUGGAUAUAAAUAUUGCACUGUUGAUUUUUAUAAAGAGAGCCUCCUUUUACUCGACAAGACUGAUGCAGAGUCGUACUAAGAGAAAGAACAGGGCAGUAGCGUCCUAUGCCUGAAGUGCCUGAUGUUUCGGUGUAUUUAGUUGACAUGCCUGAUGUCACUAUUUAUUAUUCUUCAGCUUUUGGAAAACUUUAAUGGAACUAAUGGAAGUAUCUAGUUACAAAUUUCAAUUACCUUUGCAGUUUGAAACUCUGCACCAGUUUCCAUGAAAUGCUUUUGCAGUUUUCUGUUUCAUUUUUAUUGCAUAGUUUUCCUGAGCUGAACAAUUGACAGCUGAAUCCACUUUUAAUUAAGUGAUGAAGGUGAUUUGAAAUUGUACCCUCUUUUAGUUAACUGUAUGCCUGCAACGCCUUCUCCAAUGGCCCUCAUUCGAUUGCAACUUGCAAACAACAUAUGGUGGUUGUCCAUUUUUGCAAUUGCAUUGGUUUGAAAAAACUGCUCAAUCCACAUCUCCGAGUGGUUGGCACUUGUAACAGGCUAAUCUGCCUUGUGGAUGAUAUCUCUGCUUAUGGUUACAACUUCUUUAUAUGGAACCCAACCAUUACAACUUCUUUGGACGCAUGGUGCAUACAAUGCUUCUAUUGGAGUAGAGAAAUACUAACGUGACUUACAAGGAUCAACAAUAUGAGUUCCCUUGAUACUGGAUUAUGAAAAAUGCACCCGUCAUCUGACUUGUAAAAGCACAAUAAAAGCGGGCAUAAGUUUCCAUAAGAAAUUAAACAAAAGAGACUUUCUUGUUGGUUGCCCAAAACAGUGGAGAUCCAUACUCAAGUGGGAUGUCAUUGAAGAAAUAUAUUUGCUUGAAUGCAUGUGCAAUGUGAAGAACAUUUAUGUCUUUGGGUGUUUUCUUAUAAAGAACAUAUGG